rnacentral:lncRNA from 1 species
GGGAACCCAAUUAGGAGGUUAUAGUAAUAGUUUGGAUAUGAGCUAAUGAAGCCUGAGGCAGGAAGUUGGCAGUAGGAAUGUAUAUGAAAUGACGUAUAUGGAAACUUACAAAAGAAGAAGGGGUGUGAUCCCAGUGAAGUCACAGAGAACAAGCAAUCCAGCCAGUGUGGAGAGGAAAAAUACAGGCUUCUUAAACAGUCUUGCAUUUGAAUGAGAUUGAAGAACUAUGGAGGUCCUUAUUUUGUAAAAGUCAUCACCAUUCAUCAGAUAUGAUAGAAUUACCAACAAGUAUCAUAAAACUCUGCUUUACCCUCCUUGUCUUAACCAAAAGAUUGUGUAUUCUUUCUCACAAUGGAAAAAAAAAGAAGAAGUAAGGUAUCCACUAAGAUAUGAUGAGUUUAUUGAUUUCAUCAAAAAUUCAGGUUACUUCCACUAAGUCUCCACGCCACUGUCCCCACUUUUGGCUUCAUCCUAUAGUUGGUUUACUCUUGUGAUUGCAGAUGGCUAUAACACAUACCAUCUGGAGACAAUAGUGAGUAGUAGCAGA